rnacentral:ncRNA from 1 species
AUUCCAGAGGUGUUGUGUCAUACGAUGCAACACUCCGGCAGCAAGCGAAGGUGUCAUUGACACCCGUGGUAUAGUCCCCCCGGCUAUACCACGUUCUUUUUUU